rnacentral:rRNA from 1 species
CAAUAGCGUAUAUUAAAGUUGUUGCAGUUAAAAAGCUCGUAGUUGGAUUUCUGGCAGGAGCGACCGGUCCGCCGCAAGGUGUGCACUAGGUUGUCUCCAGUCAUCUUUGUGGGAACUGCUCUGGCAUUAGGUUGUCGGGGUUAGGGAACACAUCGUUUACUGUGAAAAAAUUAGAGUGUUUAAAGCAGGCUUAUGCCGUUGAAUACAUUAGCAUGGAAUAAUAAGAUAGGACUUUGGUGGUCUAUUUUGUUGGUUUGCACACCAAGGUAAAUGAUUAAUAGGGAUAGUUGGGGGCGAUUCGUAUUUAACUUAGUCAGAGGUGAAAUUACUUGGAUUUGUUUAAAGAACGGACUACUGCGAAAGACAUUUGUCCAAGGAAUGUUUUCUAUUGAUCAAGAAACGAAAGUUAAGGGGAGUCGAAGAACGAUCAGAUACCAU